CGCCUGUCGAGGUGGCAGCCGUCCAGCAGCAUCUCCAUGUGAGGUAGCGGCCGCGGCACUUCCUGUGUGGCAGAAGCUUUCCUGGCGCGGCGACCCCUCCGUGCCGUCAUCAGUCUCAUUAUGUUCUAAACUAUAAAUCUGGUUUUAUUUUUCCAACGCAUAUCCACUAGAAAUAAUAGAAAUGAUAAAUAAGUAAAUAAAUAAAUGUUAAUUCAUGUAUUCAUUACUUUAUUUAUUUAUUCACUUGUUCAUCUAUUCCUUUUUAAGAGGGUAAUAUACAUUAUUGUUAAUACAAAUUAGAGGAACAUCCACUCCUACAAAUCUUUAUUUUAUUCUCUGUAGUUCACUUGUUUCUAGUAAUGCAAAUUUGACUUUUUCACUGCUCGACAGUAGGAUGAUAAUGGAUUACGAAUGUGUUGAAAAAAGAAAAGUUCAGAUUGACUAGAAAUAAGCGAGAUAAUACGAGUUUAAGGUCCAUCAAUAAUUAAGAAUCGAGUUAAAUUGGAGGUUAAGACGUUUAAAAUUUAAAUUGGAUCAUGAAAUUGUCAUAGUAACAGUUAGGUAAUAUUGUAUUUUUUAUGUAUCUAUUUAUUUACUUAAAUAUUUAUUUGUUUAUUUAUCUAUGUCUAUUUAUUUGUUUAUCUAUCAAUUUACUAAUUUAUUUUCUUACUUAUUUCAAUUAUCUACCAGCAUUCGUGACAGGACGAUCAAACUACUAGUAUGUCUCUCACUCGUAUAUGAGAAACAAGCCAGUGAACGAGGUGGAUCAGGCAACAAUAAACUAGCACAUUUGAUGCCAGCUGUUCGUUUCUUUCCUGCUCUUUAGGAAUAGCAACUGCUUACAUACUACUGUGUUAUUUCAGAUUAGAAUUUUAUCUUCACUGAAAAGCUUAUCUAUUUUAUUAUAAUCUGACAGGAGUGUAAUAAAAAGACUAACCUGCAUUCCUACAUCAUUUAUAAUGUAGUUAAAACAACUGCUCCCACUCACAUGAUGCACUUGCCUUGCCUCCACCAAUCGCCUUGUUGGACUCGGAAGUUCGGAGGAGUGCGUUAGUGCGAAUUGGUCAGUGGUGGAGAGGCUGUUCUAAACCAUUAACAUGUCUGCGUACAACAUGGGCAUGAUAAGUGGGUGGAGGCACAGGACGGCGUGAUGUUACCAGAUAGUGAGGUGUCAUCUGAGGAGCAAAAGUGGAGAAGAGGACAGUGGCCUGAGAAGUCAAGACGAGGGCUGAUCACCUGAACCACUACUUAUUUCAGUGGCAUUUUCAACCAGAUGUCUUAACAAGCUACAUUGGGAGAGUAGGAGGCCUGCAGAACUUGAUAAAUUUGGCACUUGGCCAAGGACCAAAUUCUUCAAGGCUCCCUCCAUAUUCUCCAGUCAUGGUUCCUUG